rnacentral:rRNA from 1 species
UGCCAGCCGCCGCGGUAAUACGGAGGGGGUUAGCGUUGUUCGGAAUUACUGGGCGUAAAGCGCACGUAGGCGGAUUAGAAAGUCAGGUGUGAAAGCCCGGGGCUCAACCUCGGAAUUGCAUUUGAAACUGGUUUUCUUGAGGAUAGGCGGGGAAAACGGAAUUCCACGUGUAGCGGUGAAAUGCGUAGAUAUGUGGAAGAACACCCGUGGCGUAGGCGGUUUUCUAGCUUAUUCCUGACGCUGAGGCACGAAAGCAAGGGGAGCGAACAGGAUUAGAUA